UUAAAAUUGCUCAUUGGUCAGUUAUGACCAGAUUGUAAUUCUCUGAUGUUUGGCAAAAAGGGCUGAAGUCAGAAUUGCACAUCAAUAAUGUUUUGAUGAUUUCUGGACCAUAAAAAAAGUGUUGCAGACUUAAACUGUAUGUACCAAUAAAAAGAGCCGAUUUUUCUGGUCCAGAAAUCAUCAAAACAUUAUCGAUGUGCAAUUCUGACUUAAGCCCUUUUUCCCAAACAUCAGAGAAUUGCAAUGUACAAUUCAAUACAAAUGAAUCAUCAUCGUAGUGAUGAUUAUGGAAAAAAAUAUAUAUAUAUAGAAAUAUAUAUAUUUUGUGCAAUAAAAAUGUUUAUAUUUAUCAAGGAUGUAUUAUUUGAUAUGGCCACAUAUACUUCUGGUAUAUCGUCGGUGAUGUGACAAUACCUCCUAUCUGCUUUUUCAUGAAUUUUGUAGGAGACGAAAAACCAUUUUUAGGGUCAUCUGUUUUCACAUGUAAAUUUUGACAUGUUUUGUAGUAAAUAGAUAAUUGAAUUUACUACAAAACAUGUCAAAAAAUAUCAUAUGAAAACAGGAGGUGACUGUAAAAAAAGUUUUUAGUCUCUCUUACAAAAUGGUUAACAGUUAAUAGAGAGACAGAUAAUCGAGGUUCCACUGUAUAGUGAAAUUUGGACACCCGACACCCCAUACAAAUUUUAUGGGGGUUUUGUUCGUUUAAACCCCCCCCCCCCAAACUUUUGUGUAAGUUACAAUUGAAUUAUUAUUGUGGUACUAUUAAACACAAUGUUUUUAAAACUUUUUUGCCUCUUAGUACUUUUUUGAAGUCAGUUUUUAUUGUGAUAUUUUGAAUAUUUGUCAAAUCCACCACAUAUUUGUAUAUGGUUAAGUACGAUUGUAGAGACUAAUAAUAUGAAAAUUUAUUUAUGAUUUACAUUUUUAGGUAUAUUUUGAACCAUUUUAAAAAGAAGCCAUAUCUUAUAAAAAGAGCUUUAUCGAAAAAAUAGAAAGAGGUAAAAAAGUUUUAAAAACACAGUGUUUAACUAAUGGUACCGCAGAAAUAAUUUAAUUGGAACGUACCCAAAAGUUUGGGGGGGUUAAAGGGAACAAAACCCCCAUAAAAUUUUUAUGGGGUGCACAAAUUUCACUAUAAUUUUUCUUUAAGAUGUUACUGCAAUAAUAUUGCUUCAUGUCCAUUUUCAAUAAAAAAUCUUUAAUAGUUUUCGAUAUAUUCGAAAAAAUCGAAUUUUCAUUUUGUAUCUUCAAAGGGCUGUAACUUUUUUUGUGUGCAUAUUUGUACUAAGGUAAGUUAGGUUCAUUCAAAUUAUUUUUGGUCCCAGAAUAUGUGAUUUAAUUUACGACCAAUCUUUUCGGGACACCCUGUAUAAUAAAUGGGAUUAGCUGGCUUAAAAAUUCAUAAUCUACGUUCUGUAGAAAAUAUACAGUUUUUGGUUUCUUUUUAACUAGAUCUUAAUAUCUAACCAAGCAUUUUAAGACCUUUUUAUUAUUUUUUCGAUGAUAUAUUCAUGUUUUUAGUUUGUUCAAAAUAUUCUAGAUGAUUGUACACUAUAAUAGAUAGCCAACUAAAUAAACACAAAAAUUUUAUUUUUGUUACAGCCUGUAUAUAAGUUUACCUAUAUAUACAGUGCAUUACGCACCACCUUAAAAAUUAAGCAUUUUUGAUGUCUCGAAUUUCCUAAACCUGUUGUCCCAUCUAAGUGAUUUUUUUAUAAUAAUAUAGCCUGAGGCUAUAGGUUACUGCCUUAUGCUUGUCAUGCACGGGGAGCUAUACUGUAAUAUAUAUUAUAUCACGUCGCUCUCUAUAGUAAUGAGUGAGCCUGCACAUACGGAACCAUUAGUUCCCUGUCUGCAGGCUCACUCAUUACUAUAGAGAGCGAUAUGAUAUAAUAUACAUAUAUUACAGUAUAGCUACCAGUGCAUGACAAGCUUAAGGAUGUAACCUAUAGCCUAGGCUAUAUUAUAAAAAAAUCACUCAGAUGAGACAACAGGUUUAGAAAAUUCGAGACAUCAAAAGUGCCCUAUUUUUAAGGUGGUGCGUUAAUUUGUUGGAGAAGUGUAUUGUAAUUUAAUGUAAAUAAUGUAAUAUCCAAUAAUUGUAAUUUAAUAUAAGAUGUAAUAUAAGUUCCUUAAAAA
rnacentral:lncRNA from 1 species